GACGAACCGAGCGAACGUUGUUCGGAAUCACUGGGCUUAAAGGGCGCGUAGGCGGGCGGCUAAGUCCGUGGUGAAAUCCGGCAGCUCAACUGUCGAAUUGCCGCGGGUACUGGUUGUCUCGAGGGAGGUAGGGGUGCGCGGAACUAAUGGUGGAGCGGUGAAAUGCGUUGAUAUCAUUAGGAACUCCGGUGGCGAAGGCGGCGCACUGGACCUCUUCUGACGCUGAGGCGCGAAAGCCAGGGGAGCAAACGGG
rnacentral:rRNA from 1 species